rnacentral:lncRNA from 1 species
GCUGGAUUCAGUUUGCCAGUAUUUUACUGAGGAUUUUUGCAUUGAUAUUCAUCAGGGAUAUUGGUCUAAAAUUCUCUUUUUUUGUUGUGUCUCUGCCAGGCUUUGGUAUCAGGAUGAUGUUGGCCUCAUAAAAUGAGUUAGGGAGGAUUUCUUCUUUUUCUAUUGAUUGGAAUAGUUUCAGAAGGAAUGGUACCAGCUCCUUCUUGUACCUCCGGUAGAAUUCAGCUGUGAAUCCAUCUGGUCCUGGACUUUCUUUGGUUGGUGAGGCGAUGCCUCACCCUGCUUCAGCUCUCUGGUCCGGCUGCACUAGCUGACCAGCACCGAUUGUCCGGCACUCCCCAGUGAGAUGAACCCGGUACCUCAGUUGAAAAUGCAGAAAUCACCCGUCUUCUGUGUCGCUCGCGCUGGGAGCUGGAGGCUGGAGCUGUUCCUUUUCGGCCAUCUUGCUCGCACCCCCUACAUUUGUAUGUUUUAGAUAAAUAUCGUUUUGCUUUUUUUUUUUUUAUGGGUGAAACAGUUUCUCCAAAACUAUUUACUAUUUUUAUUUUCCUCCAUUGUUCAGUGACAUCAUUUUCAUCAUCAGCUAUAUGCCAUGUCCUGGAGACACUCAGGCAGCAGUCCUGUGGAAAGGCCUACUUUGUGAAGAAAUGAAAUCUCCAGCUCAUAGCCAUGAAGCCUGCUAACAACUGCAGGAGCCAUCUUGGAGGCUGAUUCCCCAGCACCAGGAGAAACAGGGAUGACAGCAGACCCUGUUGGCAGCUCAGUUGCAACCUUAUAUGAGACCCUGAGGCAGAGUCACCCAGAUGAGCCACUCUGGGAUUCCUGAUCCUUAGAAACUAUGUGAGAUAAUGAACAUUUGUUAUUGUUACCUGGGAAGUUUUGGGUAGCUUGCUACACAGCAAUAGAGAACUAAUACAGGCAAGUACUGUUAUUAUCCUCAUUACAGAUGAGCAGAUAAAACAGAGGAAGGUGGAGUCACCUGUCCUGGACACGUGGCUGGGAAGUGGUGGAAGGCAGACCCACACUGUCUGACCUCUGAGCUCACAUUCUGAACUCCGGUGGUUUAUAAACAUGAUGCGAUGUCUUUUAUACACUGCUUCGUUUAUUUGAAGUCCUCAAGUCUUAUUUGAAGUCUCAGGUGUAUUUGUAGUCUUUCCUUUUAAUUUGCCCCAAAUUUCAAGAUUGGUGGAUAAUUUCAGAGGGAUUAAGAUUAAUAGGGAGUCUAAAAGUCUUUAAAAUUAUUUUACUUAUAGUUUAAAAUAAUGUUUAUAUGUAAUCUAACAUUUGUAUGUUUGGGAAUCUUAUGUCACAGAAUAGAGAUGUCAGAGGUGGCUCAUAGUUUUAGGAAAGGAGUAAGGAAGUCACUGACCUUCCAUUUACAGGGUGAGAUUUGAAUUGGACUUCUAUGUAGAUACAUGGUUUUCACUCAUUGAAAGCAUGCAGAGAAAGAGUCACACAUGAGAAGAAUACAGUAUUAUCAAUUCUGGUAAGCAUAGAUCAAGGGUUGGCGGAUUUCUUUAGAUGUCAAGAUCAGACUUGAUUACACAACUUUUGCUCUGAAUUCAUGUGGCCAUUGAUUUGAAAGUCAAGAAAGCCCCAGGUUUUAAUUCCUGUGUCAUUGCAGAGGUUUCUUGGUGAAGUUUCUGCAUUAUGUUUUUCCUUUCUCAUCUGCAAACCUCUCAGUUUUCUACCCUGCAGUUGGAGAGAGAAAGAGGCUGCGCUGCUUCCUCCCAAGUCUCUCAGUUCUCCUUACUUUCUUGUUUCUGACCCCUUGGUUUGGUGAGAGGCAUGUGGACUGGCUGUAAGGUCGUGGGCAGCAUGUGACCACUCCGGUUUUACGUGGAAAAUUGCAAGCCACCUGCUUGAAGUCACUCGAAGAAUGAAUGAUAAGGCCUCCCAGUCUGGUUACCCUUCCACCUCUGCUGCUCAGUUUGCUUCUAAGUCUUACUUGAUGCAGGAUAAUUCUUUACUCAGUCAUGGAAGGUGACCAAUAGAACAUCUAUCUUAUAUUCCCUGUGCCACUGUUACUUGGAUCUUUCUUAUCUCCCUAGUGGAUUGGAAGCUCUUGGAGGUAGAAAAAUGGGAACAGAGCCUUGCCUACAGCAUAGCUCAAUAUAUACUUAUGCUAUUGAUAAAUAAGAGUAAAAGGACAGAUGGAAGCAAGGGUGGAUGAUGGAACUAUGAAGCAUACUGAGUUUUCCUACUAAUGUUGCCUUGCUAAUGUGCAUUGAAUAAGAAAACAAAACCUUAUAUGUAUUUUGAAUGUACGAAACAGGUCAGCUCAAAAUAGGUAUUUUACUUUAAAUAAAAGUGGCCUUGGUGUGGUGGCUGACACGUGUGUAAUACUAGCACUUUGGGAGGCAGUGGUGGGAGGAUCCCUUGAGUCCAGGAGUUCAAGACCCGCCUGGACAACAUAGUGAGACCCUGUAUCUACCAAAAAAUUUAAAAGAUUAGCCAAGCAUGGUGGUGUGUACCUGUAGUCUCAGCUACUUGGGGGGUUGAGGUGGAAGUAUCUCUUGAGCCUAGGAGGUUGAGGUUGUAGUGAGCUGUGAUUGUGCUGUUGUGCUACAGCCUGGAUGACAGAGGAAGACCUGUCUGGGAAAAAAAAAAAAAAAAAAAUUUGCCCAGAGCAUAAAGUUCAGUUUCAAAAAUUCAUUUUAUAGCCAACUUUUCAGUGAUUGACCUGUUGGUAAAGUUUUAUCAUAAAUAAUUUAAAGCAGAGACCAUUUUCUGGCUUGGCAGAUGUUUUAUUUUAAAAAAUCUAUUAUAUUUUAAUUGUCUAUUUCCACAUGCACAUUGUUUUUUUGGCUGGGAAGAGAAAGUUAAUUGAUGGUUGAUUUAUGUUCUGCCUUUUCCCAAAGGAUUAGAAGUUGUUUACUGCUAAAUCAUAAUGCAAAAUGUAACUUUCCACGGCUGGUAACCACACGGUGCUUUCCUGGUGAUAAUGUUGUUCUGUAACACUGUUUACCACAUUAUAAUGCAUCAUAUUAGAGAUGCACAAAUGAAUAGAUUCAGAGGCAGAACAAGCAAUAAAGUUUUCUACAACCAGAAUAAAUAAAUAAGGUGGGCUUAGGAUGGGUGGAGAACAUGGGUGUCCAGUGGUUGCAUAGAGAAUGAAGAGUUAAGACUUUGGAUGGUUCUAUCUAUGUGGUGGACAGUGAACAGAGAAUCAUAACUAUAAGACAUAUUCUGAUAGUAUAGUUGUAAGUAAUUUUACGUUAUAAAAGUGUUUCCUCAUUACUAUUUCACAACAAAACCCACUGUUUACUGAAUACCUGUGACACUGUGUGACAUAUAUUAGGCACCUAAUAAGCCAGCACAGGGCAGAGUUAUUCUUCUAAUCUCUCCGGCUUCCCCUUCUGCAGCAUCUCUACUCUCUUCAGCCAGAGAAUGUUCUCUUCUUUUAAGGGACCUUAUCUGAUUAGAGAAAGCCUACCUGAUUAACCUCUGGGUAACCUUAAGGUCAACUGGCUUGGGACUUUAAUAACAUCUGCAAAAUCCUUUUUGCCACAUGGCAUGACAUAAGUAUGGGUGUAACAAUAGAAGCUGAAGUCACGGGGGCCAAAAUUCUACCCACUACAGCCAUAAAGCUAGAAAGCAGCAGCUUCAAGAGCCUAAUCAAGGUCUAACUGGCUUCCAAGUCUGUAUUCAUUCAUCAUACCAUGAAUAUUCAUGAGUUAAAAUAAGAAAAACAUAUUAGAAAAUAGUUUAGGAUCCCCA